rnacentral:rRNA from 1 species
GAUGAACGCUGGCGGCGUGCCUAAUACAUGCAAGUCGAGCGAACAGACGAGGAGCUUGCUCCUCUGACGUUAGCGGCGGACGGGUGAGUAACACGUGGAUAACCUACCUAUAAGACUGGGAUAACUUCGGGAAACCGGAGCUAAUACCGGAUAAUAUAUUGAACCGCAUGGUUCAAUAGUGAAAGACGGUUUUGCUGUCACUUAUAGAUGGAUCCGCGCCGCAUUAGCUAGUUGGUAAGGUAACGGCUUACCAAGGCGACGAUGCGUAGCCGACCUGAGAGGGUGAUCGGCCGCACGGGAGCGGGGACACGGUCCAGACGCCUACGGGAGGCAGCAGUAGGGGAUGGGGGGCAAUGGGGGGAAGGGUGACGGAGCGAGGCCGCGUGAGGGAUGAAGGUGUUGGGAGCGGGAAGCGGGGUUAGGGGGGGAGAACAAAUGUGUAAGUAACUAUGCACGUCUUGACGGUACCUAAUCAGAAAGCCACGGCUAACUACGUG